rnacentral:rRNA from 1 species
UACGAAGGGGGCUAGCGUUGCUCGGAAUCACUGGGCGUAAAGGGCGCGUAGGCGGCUUAUCAAGUCGGGGGUGAAAGCCCGUGGCUCAACCACGGAAUGGCCUUCGAUACUGGUAGGCUUGAGACCGGAAGAGGACAGCGGAACUGCGAGUGUAGAGGUGAAAUUCGUAGAUAUUCGCAAGAACACCAGUGGCGAAGGCGGCUCACUGGCCCGAUACUGACGCUGAGGCACGAAAGCGUGGGGAGCAAACAGG